rnacentral:rRNA from 1 species
GACGAACGCUGGCGGCGUGCCUAAUACAUGCAAGUAGAACGCUGAAGGAGGAGCUUGCUCUUCUGGAUGAGUUGCGAACGGGUGAGUAACGCGUAGGUAACCUGCCUGGUAGCGGGGGAUAACUAUUGGAAACGAUAGCUAAUACCGCAUAAGAGUAGAUGUUGCAUGACAUUUGCUUAAAAGGUGCAAUUGCAUCACUACCAGAUGGACCUGCGUUGUAUUAGCUAGUUGGUGAGAUAACGGCUCACCAAGGCGACGAUACAUAGCCGACCUGAGAGGGUGAUCGGCCACACUGGGACUGAGACACGGCCCAGACUCCUACGGGAGGCAGCAGUAGGGAAUCUUCGGCAAUGGACGGAAGUCUGACCGAGCAACGCCGCGUGAGUGAAGAAGGUUUUCGGAUCGUAAAGCUCUGUUGUAAGAGAAGAACGAGUGUGAGAGUGGAAAAGUUCACACUGUGACCGGU